rnacentral:rRNA from 1 species
AGAGUUUGAUCAUGGCUCAGGAUGAACGCUAGCGGCAGGCUUAAUACAUGCAAGUCGAACGGUAAGGCCCUGCUUGCAGGGUUACACGAGUGGCGCACGGGUGCGUAACGCGUAUGCGACUUGCCUCUAACUGGGGAAUAGCCCGGAGAAAUUCGGAUUAAUACCCCAUAGUACCAUAAAACAGCAUUGUUUAAUGGUUAAAACUUCGGUGGUAGAGAUAGGCAUGCGUGACAUUAGUUAGUUGGUGAGGUAACGGCUCACCAAGGCCACGAUGUCUAGGGGUGUCUGAGAGGAUGAUCAGCCACACGGGCACUGAGACACGGGCCCGACUCCUACGGGAGGCAGCAGUAGGGAAUAUUGGGCAAUGGACGAAAGUCUGACCCAGCCAUGCCGCGUGCAGGAUGAAGGCCCUCUGGGUUGUAAACUGCUUUUAUCAGGGAAGAAACCCGGAGACGUGUCUCCGGCUGACGGUACCAUACGAAUAAGGAUCGGCUAACUCCGUGCCAGCAGCCGCGGUAAUACGGAGGGUGCAAGCGUUAUCCGGAUUUACUGGGUUUAAAGGGUGCGUAGGUGGAUUGAUAAGUCAGUGGUGAAAUCCUACAGCUUAACUGUAGAACUGCCAUUGAUACUGCAUGUCUAGAAUACAGACGAGGUAGGCGGAAUGUGGCGUGUAGCGGUGAAAUGCUUAGAUAUGCCACAGAACACCGAUAGCGAAGGCAGCUUACCAGACUGGUAUUGACGCUAAGGCACGAAAGCGUGGGUAGCGAACAGGAUUAGAUACCCUGGUAGUCCACGCCCUAAACGAUGAUCACUCGAUGUUGGCGAUAUACUGUAAGUGUCCAAGCGAAAGCGAUAAGUAAUCCACCUGGGGAGUACGUUCGCAAGGUUGAAACUCAAAUGAAUUGACGG